rnacentral:lncRNA from 1 species
UUUUGUCCGCCGCUCAUCUUCUCAUCCUCUCUCUCUAUGGCGAUUCCUGGCGAUUCAUCAGGCCUCUCUCUCGGAUCUCGCCAGAUCUCUCACCAGAUCUAUGAGGAUUUCACCAGAUCGAUGAAGAGCUUGUGAAGGUGUUGACUGAAUUAUGGAUUGUUUUUGAUCGAUUGGUAGAUCCUUUGUAAUAAUCUAUUUACCAAGCCCAAUAUUGGUCCGCAAAUUAAUGCAUCAACAGUUGGGAAAGCUCUGGUUGUGGAUAUCUGUUGGAGCACUCCUUGGGUUUUUGAUUAUCUUCAACAUAUUCUUUAUCGUAGCACUAACUUCCCUGAAUCCCCCGGUGUGAUGCUAAACCUGUGAUCAGAGAGGAAAAUGAUAUAAAGAAUUCAAAAAAUAACAGCUUACAGUAGGCUCAGCUGGGAUGGUCAAUCACAUGAGCUUUGGUGGACUUCCCGUGAAAACUGAGACAGCUGAAGAAGCUGAUGAACUUAUGAGAGUAGAUGAAAAGGCAUCUGAAGUUGAGGUAGAAGUUCUUUCAGCCCCUCCAAAGUUAGUUUACUGUAAAUUAAUCUUGCGCUUCACUAGAAAGCUAUUGGUGGCUGUAGCAGACAAGUGGGAUAGUCAUGUUCUGGUCAUGGACAAAGUUGCUCCACAAAACUGGAAGAAUGGAGUCAGCUUACAGGACAUGGGUCAGACAGAAGAAAGAAGGGGUUAAAUCAGUUGAUUUGGAUGAUCUUUGUAGGGAGCUUCAAACUGCUUUAGGCACAACAAAGUGGCAGAGACAAGAAAAAGUGUGUUUGUGAGAGAGAGAGAGAGAGAGCGACGGGAAGGAGAGUCCUUGGAGAAGGUAGAGGUGGCAAAGGGAACUAGGGUUCUAGCGACGAAUGUCUAUCUAGGUACUCAUUGAGAGUUUGAGACCUCGAAUCCAUCUAUUGCUUAACGAAUCAGGGAUAAUCUUGACAGGUUAUAAAGCUGGAGCCUCAUAUACAGAUGAAUGGGUCAAACGGUUCAAACUGUUGACCCACCCAAAACUUCAAUGUUCGUUCUUAACAACGAAGAGAUCACCUGCAGGCUACAUACGCAAGUUUUGAGGGGACGGGAUGACGGUGGUCAGGCAUCACUCUGGAGCAUAUUUCCAAAAGCAGUUGUCUAUUGUCAUGUUAAAGAGGCCAAGCAAAAUGUAUCAAGUUAAUUUGGCACACAAAGCGGAAGGAGGGAGCCUAAUGACUUCAAGAACUCCAACACAAACCAUGCUGAAUAUCGAAAUGAAGAGGCCAGUCCUGAUUCGUUGAAGCUGGGUCAACCCAUUUUAUUGACCUGUGAGUCUCCUGGCCACGCGAACUAUAACACGGUCGUAUACAGGGACCCAGAAUACUACGCUUAUAGUGUCGAAAAUCCCGAGUGAAGCUGGUGGAAUCUCGAAUAGGUUACUCAUUUGUGAGUAAACUGUGGCGAACAUGAUACCCGUGGCCCAAUAUUGGAAGCAACCGUAACACUGCUUUCAGUUCCUCAACCUGACUCACUGAGCAAAGCCUCCAUGGGUCUAUCGACCCGUUUGUAUGAUCCGUGGGUGCAACCACAGCUGCCUUAUCCAAAAAACUUUUGAUGCUGCUGGUGUUUUUCGUUUAUCCUUUAUUGCCUGCGAGAUCUCAAAAAACAUGCUGGAAAUAUUAUUGCAGUUAUUAUUGUUAUUUAAUAUGAAGUUUGUCUAUAAUAUUGACAUAAUAUGAAGUGGGUUAGUAUGAUGGUGAGAUGGCCUUUAUUAUUGCGUUUUUAUAUGUAGUUUUCUACUCUCAAAAUGAUAAUUGUUUAGAGUUUCGGGUUCACUGUUGCAUUGAAGGUUAUCUGGGUUUCUCGGUUGAUCAUUUUAUAUGGUUCCAGAUCCAUUGUUUUUGAUGUAUUGAGGGUUGACGGGUUUCUCAGCAGGAGUUUCGGGUUCACUGAUGCAUUGAAAGUUUCGGGACUGAGGCGCUAUAAAAAACGUGUAG